rnacentral:rRNA from 1 species
GAUUAACGCUGGCGGCGUGCCUAACACAUGCAAGUCGAGCGGCAGCUAGUUUUACACUGACUUCUGGAUGCUUCUCGUUUAAGGAGCUGAUUUUUUCAAGAAUUUUGUGUAACGUGUCGGCUAGCGGCGGACGGCUGAGUCACCCGUGCGAACGUACCCCACAGUUUGGUAUAACGCAUCUAAAUUUGUUCUAUUACCGCGUAUGGUCUUCGCAUUAAAGCCUUCGGUCGCUUUUGGAACGGCCUGCGUAAGCUUAGAUAGUUGGUGGGGUAAUGGCCUACCAAGGCGACGAUCUAUAACUGGUUGGAGAGGAUGAUCAGUCAGACUGGAACUGAGACACGGUCCAGACUCCUACGGGAGGCAGCAGUGAGGAAUCUUGCACAAUGGGCGAAAGCCUGAUGGAGCAACGCCGCGUGCAGGAUGAAGGCCUUAGGGUUGUAAAGUGCUUUUAUAAGUGAGGAUUAUGACAGUAACUUAUGAAUAAGAAUCGGCUAACUACGUG